rnacentral:rRNA from 1 species
CCUACGGGAGGCAGCAGUGGGGAAUUUUCCGCAAUGGGCGAAAGCCUGACGGAGCAAUACCGCGUGAGGGAGGAAGGCUCUUGGGUCGUAAACCUCUUUUCUCAGGGAAGAAGAAAGUGACGGUACCUGAGGAAUAAGCAUCGGCUAACUCCGUGCCAGCAGCCGCGGUAAUACGGAGGAUGCAAGCGUUAUCCGGAAUGAUUGGGCGUAAAGGGUCCGCAGGUGGCUGUGUAAGUCUGCUGUUAAAGAGUCAUGCUUAACAUGAUAAGAGCAAUGGAAACUACAUAGCUAGAGUACGUUCGGGGCAGAGGGAAUUCCUGGUGUAGCGGUGAAAUGCGUAGAUAUCAGGAAGAACACCGGUGGCGAAAGCGCUCUGCUAGGCCGUAACUGACACUGAGGGACGAAAGCUAGGGGAGCGAAAUGGGGAUUAGAUACCCCAGUAGUCCCUAGCCGUAAACGAUGGAUACUAGGCGUGGCUUGUAUCGACCCGAGCCGUGCCGUAGCUAACGCGUUAAGUAUCCCGCCUGGGGAGUACGCACGCAAGUGUGAAACUCAAAGGAAUUGACGCUGAGCNGCGAGCGACACGAGGGAGAG